AUUGAAACACUGGUUUCUAUACGAUCACCAAAAUUAAGCAAUGUUGAGCCUGGUCAGUACCUAUAUGAGUGACCACUUGGGAAUACAAGAUGCUGUAA